rnacentral:rRNA from 1 species
GGUUAAGCGACUAAGCGUACACGGUGGAUGCCCUGGCAGUCAGAGGCGAUGAAGGACGUGCUAAUCUGCGAAAAGCGUCGGUAAGGUGAUAUGAACCGUUAUAGCCGGCGAUGUCCGAAUGGGGAAACCCAGUGCAAUUCGUUGCACUAUCGUUAACUGAAUACAUAGGUUAACGAGGCGAACCGGGGGAACUGAAACAUCUAAGUACCCCGAGGAAAAGAAAUCAACCGAGAUUCCCCCAGUAGCGGCGAGCGAACGGGGAGCAGCCCAGAGUCUGAAUCAGCUUGUGUGUUAGUGGAACGGUCUGGAAAGUCCGACGGUACAGGGUGAUAGUCCCGUACACCAAAAUGCACAGGCUGUGAACUCGAAGAGUAGGGCGGGACACGUGGUAUCCUGUCUGAAUAUGGGGGGACCAUCCUCCAAGGCUAAAUACUCCUGACUGACCGAUAGUGAACCAGUACCGUGAGGGAAAGGCGAAAAGAACCCCGGCGAGGGGAGUGAAAAAGAACCUGAAACCGUGUACGUACAAGCAGUGGGAGCACCUUCGGGUGUGACUGCGUACCUUUUGUAUAAUGGGUCAGCGACUUAUAUUUUGUAGCAAGGUUAACCGUAUAGGGGAGCCGCAGGGAAACCGAGUCUUAACUGGGCGUUAAGUUGCAGGGUAUAGACCCGAAACCCGGUGAUCUAGCCAUGGGCAGGUUGAAGGUUGGGUAACACUAACUGGAGGACCGAACCGACUAAUGUUGAAAAAUUAGCGGAUGACUUGUGGCUGGGGGUGAAAGGCCAAUCAAACCGGGAGAUAGCUGGUUCUCCCCGAAAGCUAUUUAGGUAGCGCCUCGUGAACUCAUCUUCGGGGGUAGAGCACUGUUUCGGCUAGGGGGUCAUCCCGACUUACCAACCCGAUGCAAACUACGAAUACCGAAGAAUGUUAUCACGGGAGACACACGGCGGGUGCUAACGUCCGUCGUGAAGAGGGAAACAACCCAGACCGCCAGCUAAGGUCCCAAAGUCAUGGUUAAGUGGGAAACGAUGUGGGAAGGCACAGACAGCCAGGAUGUUGGCUUAGAAGCAGCCAUCAUUUAAAGAAAGCGUAAUAGCUCACUGGUCGAGUCGGCCUGCGCGGAAGAUGUAACGGGGCUAAACCAUGCACCGAAGCUGCGGCAGCGACACUAUGUGUUGUUGGGUAGGGGAGCGUUCUGUAAGCCUGCGAAGGUGUGCUGUGAGGGUUGCUGGAGGUAUCAGAAGUGCGAAUGCUGACAUAAGUAACGAUAAAGCGGGUGAAAAGCCCGCUCGCCGGAAGACCAAGGGUUCCUGUCCAACGUUAAUCGGGGCAGGGUGAGUCGACCCCUAAGGCGAGGCCGAAAGGCGUAGUCGAUGGGAAACAGGUUAAUAUUCCUGUACUUGGUGUUACUGCGAAGGGGGGACGGAGAAGGCUAUGUUAGCCGGGCGACGGUUGUCCCGGUUUAAGCAUGUAGGCUGGUUGUCCAGGCAAAUCCGGAUAAUCAAGGCUGAGGUGUGAUGACGAGGCACUACGGUGCUGAAGUAACAAAUGCCCUGCUUCCAGGAAAAGCCUCUAAGCAUCAGGUAACAUCAAAUCGUACCCCAAACCGACACAGGUGGUCAGGUAGAGAAUACCAAGGCGCUUGAGAGAACUCGGGUGAAGGAACUAGGCAAAAUGGUGCCGUAACUUCGGGAGAAGGCACGCUGGUGUGUAGGUGAAGUCCCUGCGGAUGGAGCUGAGACCAGUCGAAGAUACCAGCUGGCUGCAACUGUUUAUUAAAAACACAGCACUGUGCAAACACGAAAGUGGACGUAUACGGUGUGACGCCUGCCCGGUGCCGGAAGGUUAAUUGAUGGGGUUAUCCGUAAGGAGAAGCUCUUGAUCGAAGCCCCGGUAAACGGCGGCCGUAACUAUAACGGUCCUAAGGUAGCGAAAUUCCUUGUCGGGUAAGUUCCGACCUGCACGAAUGGCGUAAUGAUGGCCAGGCUGUCUCCACCCGAGACUCAGUGAAAUUGAACUCGCUGUGAAGAUGCAGUGUACCCGCGGCAAGACGGAAAGACCCCGUGAACCUUUACUAUAGCUUGACACUGAACAUUGAGCAUUGAUGUGUAGGAUAGGUGGGAGGCUUUGAAGCGUGGACGCCAGUCUGCGUGGAGCCAACCUUGAAAUACCACCCUUUAAUGUUUGAUGUUCUAACGUUGGCCCCUUACCGGGGUUGCGGACAGUGUCUGGUGGGUAGUUUGACUGGGGCGGUCUCCUCCCAAAGCGUAACGGAGGAGCACGAAGGUUAGCUAAUCCUGGUCGGACAUCAGGAGGUUAGUGCAAUGGCAUAAGCUAGCUUGACUGCGAGCGUGACGGCGCGAGCAGGUGCGAAAGCAGGUCAUAGUGAUCCGGUGGUUCUGAAUGGAAGGGCCAUCGCUCAACGGAUAAAAGGUACUCCGGGGAUAACAGGCUGAUACCGCCCAAGAGUUCAUAUCGACGGCGGUGUUUGGCACCUCGAUGUCGGCUCAUCACAUCCUGGGGCUGAAGUAGGUCCCAAGGGUAUGGCUGUUCGCCAUUUAAAGUGGUACGCGAGCUGGGUUUAGAACGUCGUGAGACAGUUCGGUCCCUAUCUGCCGUGGGCGCUGGAGAAUUGAGGGGGGCUGCUCCUAGUACGAGAGGACCGGAGUGGACGCAUCACUGGUGUUCGGGUUGUCAUGCCAAUGGCACUGCCCGGUAGCUAAAUGCGGAAGAGAUAAGUGCUGAAAGCAUCUAAGCACGAAACUUGCCCCGAGAUGAGUUCUCCCUGAGACUUUAAGUCUCCUGAAGGAACGUUGAAGACGACGACGUUGAUAGGCCGGGUGUGUAAGCGCAGCGAUGCGUUGAGCUAACCGGUACUAAUGAACCGUGAGGCUUAACCUU